ACGACGAUCCGACUAUGUUUCUAUGCAUUUCGUGGUCCUGGAUGAAGUCCAUUUCGAGGUUUUGGGGGUGAUUUACGAGACCUCGCAGUCGAUGAAGAUUCCGACCUAUCGGAGACUUUUCUGAGUCUUUCCUUGUAUAUCGGAGUGUAUUUUCUUCUCCUGAAUGUUCUAGAAGAAUUUAUGAUGAUUCUUGGUUGAUUUUUGGGUGACCUAUCGGCUUCUAGGGUUUCUGGUGGUUUGACCUAAAGUAUUACUACCAUCCGGUGGCUCGAUCCUCACUCAGACGAUGUUUUGGGUGAUUUUCCGACAUUCCUGAUCAUACUUA
rnacentral:lncRNA from 1 species